CCACCGCGGUUAUACGAGAGGCCCUAGUUGAUAAAUACGGCGUAAAGGGUGGUUAAGGAAAGCACACAUAAAGCCAAAGAGCCUCUUGGCUGUCAUACGCUCCUGAGGACACGAAGACCUGAUACGAAAGUAGCUUUAAUAUGCCCACCUGACCCCACGAAAGCUGAGAAACAAACUGGGAUUAGAUACCCCACUAUGCUCAGCUGUAAACCCAGACGUUUAAUCACAACAGACGUCCGCCAGGGUACUACGAGCGCUAGCUUUAAACCCAAAGGACUUGGCGGUGCCUUAGACCCCCCUAGAGGAGCCUGUUCUAGAACCGAUAACCCCCGUUAAACCUCACCACUUCUAGUCAACCCCGCCUAUAUACCGCCGUCGUCAGCUUACCCUGUGAAGGAUUAAUAGUAAGCAAAAUGGACACAACCCAAAACGUCAGGUCGAGGUGUAGCGCACGAAGUGGGAAGAAAUGGGCUACAUUUUCUAAAAUAGAAUAAUACGAACAGCAUCAUGAAAACUAAUGCUUGAAGGAGGAUUUAGUAGUAAAAAGGAAAUAGAGUGUCCUUUUGAACCCGGCUCUGAGGCGCGUACACACCGCCCGUCACUCUCCCCCACAACCGCACAGUAAAAGUAACUUAACAACAGAGCACAAAUAAGGGGAGGCAAGUCGUAACAUG
rnacentral:rRNA from 1 species